rnacentral:hammerhead_ribozyme from 1 species
AUCCAGUUGACGAGUCUCAAAUGGAACUAAACGUGCGUCCUGGAU